rnacentral:sRNA from 1 species
CUUGGUCAUUUAGAGGAAGUAAAAGUCGUAACAAGGUCUCCGUAGGUGAACCUGCGGAGGGAUCAUUACAAGUGACCCCGGUCUAACCACCGGGAUGUUCAUAACCCUUUGUUGUCCGACUCUGUUGCCUCCGGGGCGACCCUGCCUUCGGGCGGGGGCUCCGGGUGGACACUUCAAACUCUUGCGUAACUUUGCAGUCUGAGUAAACUUAAUUAAUAAAUUAAAACUUUUAACAACGGAUCUCUUGGUUCUGGCAUCGAUGAAGAACGCAGCGAAAUGCGAUAAGUAAUGUGAAUUGCAGAAUUCAGUGAAUCAUCGAAUCUUUGAACGCACAUUGCGCCCCCUGGUAUUCCGGGGGGCAUGCCUGUUCGAGCGUCAUUUCACCACUCAAGCCUCGCUUGGUAUUGGGCAACGCGGUCCGCCGCGUGCCUCAAAUCGACCGGCUGGGUCUUCUGUCCCCUAAGCGUUGUGGAAACUAUUCGCUAAAGGGUGUUCGGGAGGCUACGCCGUAAAACAACCCCAUUUCUAAGGUUGACCUCGGAUCAGGUAGGGAUACCCGCUGAACUUAAGCAUAUCAAUAAGCGGAGGAAAAGAAACCAACAGGGAUUGCUCUAGUAACGGCGAGUGAAGCAGCAGUAGCUCAAAUUUGAAAUCUGGCGUCUUCGACGUCCGAGUUGUAAUUUGUAGAGGAUGCUUCUGAGUAACCACCGACCUAAGUUCCUUGGAACAGGACGUCAUAGAGGGUGAGAAUCCCGUAUGCGGUCGGAAAGGUGCUCUAUACGUAGCUCCUUCGACGAGUCGAGUUGUUUGGGAAU